rnacentral:lncRNA from 1 species
CUAAUUGGUUCCAAACAAUUAGGAUUUAAGAAUAUUAACCCAAAGCUACACUUAAACCACAUUACACAACUAACGUCCAAGGGUAUUUUCGUCAAUUCACGCCGUCGAUAAAUAUAUAUUUGGGACGGGCUGUGACAAUCUCCCCACCUUAUAAAAUUUCGUCCUCGAAAUUAUACAUAACAAAUACAUCCACUAAUAAUCAUAAAACAAUCGUGGAUACAUCUCUCUCAUCCGAUCCUCUGUCUCC